UAUAAAGUAGAACUAGUGAAUUAACAAUUUGUAAAUAUCUUUGUUAUGUUAGAAUUGAUUUUUUUUAAAAAGGCAGCAUCUUGGACCUGGAAUUAUACCUUCUCUGAGAAAUGUACAUCAGGACUUGUUCAUUUAGGUUGGCAGCUGAGGGGAGGAAGGAAGUAUAGAGGGAAGGCUGUAUGUGGAUGCGCUCGCGUUUAUAUUUUGAUGAUAACCAUUGAUGUGUGUGCAUCUCCUGGCUGUCCUAUAGGAAUGCAUUGCUAAAUAAUUCAGCAGAAACAUACCUCCUUGCUAAUACCUUAAUAGUUUAGAUCAGAUGAUGAAUCCUCUUAGAACUAUUAUACUUUGUGUACUCUGUUGCUUUAUGUCUCAUUUUAAUUGAACAUUAAGGGAAUGUAGUAUUUUAAUCAUAGCUCUGCCAAUAUGUUUAUCUAGAGGCCUGUUGCCAUUUUUGUCUUUAAAAUUUUUGUUGCCAAGAAA
rnacentral:lncRNA from 1 species